GAUGAACGCUGGCGGCGUGCCUAAUACAUGCAAGUCGAGCGAACAGAUGAGAAGCUUGCUUCUCUGAUGUUAGCGGCGGACGGGUGAGUAACACGUGGGUAACCUACCUAUAAGACUGGGAUAACUCCGGGAAACCGGGGCUAAUACCGGAUAAUAUAUUGAACCGCAUGGUUCAAUGUUGAAAGACGGUUUCGGCUGUCACUUAUAGAUGGACCCGCGCCGUAUUAGUUAGUUGGUAAGGUAACGGCUUACCAAGGCAACGAUACGUAGCCGACCUGAGAGGGUGAUCGGCCACACUGGAACUGAGACACGGUCCAGACUCCUACGGGAGGCAGCAGUAGGGAAUCUUCCGCAAUGGGCGAAAGCCUGACGGAGCAACGCCGCGUGAGUGAUGAAGGUCUUAGGAUCGUAAAACUCUGUUGUUAGGGAAGAACAAAUUUGUUAGUAACUGAACAAGUCUUGACGGUACCUAACCAGAAAGCCACGGCUAACUACGUGCCAGCAGCCGCGGUAAUACGUAGGUGGCAAGCGUUAUCCGGAAUUAUUGGGCGUAAAGCGCGCGUAGGCGGUUUCUUAAGUCUGAUGUGAAAGCCCACGGCUCAACCGUGGAGGGUCAUUGGAAACUGGGGAACUUGAGUGCAGAAGAGGAGAGUGGAAUUCCAUGUGUAGCGGUGAAAUGCGCAGAGAUAUGGAGGAACACCAGUGGCGAAGCGGCUCUCUGGUCUGUAACUGACGCUGAU
rnacentral:rRNA from 1 species